rnacentral:rRNA from 1 species
ACGGGUGAGUAAUGUCUGGGAAACUGCCUGAUGGAGGGGGAUAACUACUGGAAACGGUAGCUAAUACCGCAUGACGUCUUCGGACCAAAGUGGGGGACCUUCGGGCCUCACGCCAUCAGAUGUGCCCAGAUGGGAUUAGCUAGUAGGUGGGGUAAUGGCUCACCUAGGCGACGAUCUCUAGCUGGUCUGAGAGGAUGACCAGCCACACUGGAACCGAGACACGGUCCAGACUCCUACGGGAGGCAGCAGUGGGGAAUAUUGCACAAUGGGCGCAAGCCUGAUGCAGCCAUGCCGCGUGUAUGAAGAAGGCCUUCGGGUUGUAAAGUACUUUCAGCGAGGAGGAAGGCAUUGUGGUUAAUAACCACAGUGAUUGACGUUACUCGCAGAAGAAGCACCGGCUAACUCCGUGCCAGCAGCCGCGGUAAUACGGAGGGUGCAAGCGUUAAUCGGAAUUACUGGGCGUAAAGCGCACGCAGGCGGUUGAUUAAGUCAGAUGUGAAAUCCCCGAGCUUAACUUGGGAACUGCAUUUGAAACUGGUCAGCUAGAGUCUUGUAGAGGGGGGUAGAAUUCCAGGUGUA